CAGCAGCCGCGGUAAUACGAAGGGUGCAAGCGUUACUCGGAAUUACUGGGCGUAAGGCGUGCGUAGGUGGUGGUUUAAGUCCGUUGUGAAAGCCCUGGGCUCAACCUGGGAAUUGCAGUGGAUACUGGAUCACUAGAGUGUGGUAGAGGAUAGUGGAAUUUCCGGUGUAGCAGUGAAAUGCGUAGAGAUCGGAAGGAACAUCUGUGGCGAAGGCGACUAUCUGGGCCAACACUGACACUGAGGCACGAAAGCGUGGGGAGCAAACAGGAUUAGAUACCCCAGUAGUCCCUGUCUCUUAUAC
rnacentral:rRNA from 1 species